AUACCUUGACCGGAGCAUAACUGGUUAACUUCACACAAGAGACCUACUGUUGGACAAUUGUUUUGGCUUUAAAGGAGAAAGUCAUCGCUCUGUAAUUGGCCCUUGGACUCCCCUGGCAUCUCGUGUACAGCAUGAAGUUUUCAGCUAUGAAGAUUUCCAGAGACUCCAGAAUUAAAAACAAGCCGUGAUGGAUGAGAACCAAGCCCUUAGGGAGGAGAACCAAGCUCUGAGGGAAAGCACUGCACGAGCAGCUUCGGAUGACAGCGGCUCACUUCAAGAGCAGGUGAAGCAAGUUGGGACAAUGUUGAAGACGUUUGCUCGCACUGGGCAAUCAGGUGCAGAUCAGACCUUAAUGCUGCGACGUCUUGGAGAGUUUGGCGAUGUUGUGCGAAGCAUGGACAACAAAAUGGACACUAUGCUAGUUAUCCCUGCCAGGGGAUCUGUUACUCCCCCUAGACACCCAGGAAGAUUUGGCGUUGCUUGACAACAGUUUGAGGCAGGAUAAAGAGCUCCAGGAACGAUUUCUUCGGUUUUUGGCAAUCAAAUGUGGGAGGGACCUAUAAGACAACCGUCUGGCGGAUGCUUCAAAGUACCUUCUCUAAUCACCUUUCCAUCAAUACAACCUGGACUGGAGUUGGGGAUAAAGCAUGUUUUAGAGACAUGUUCCUGAAGACCAUUGUUCAAAGUAAGUUGGAUGUAAAAAAAAAAAAAAAAAUGUUUAGUAGAUGUGUAUGGCAUUAUGCCAUUCAAAUGGAAUGACAGAUCUGUAUUUUCUACAGGAGCCAUCCGGAAGAACCCGGCAACACAGGAUGCCACUGAUGAAGCCGUCCAGGUUAACGUUACGCGUUACCUGAAAGGAGCAUCUGACCGUGAAGGCGGAAAAAGGCGCCGCACAGCUGAGAGGGACCCACAGCCAGACCCCUUAAACCUAGGCUGACUACUGACACCCCAGCAUCACUGACAACUGGAACCCUUUCUUUAUCCUGCAGUCAGUAACAUCAAGACCCCUAAAGAAGCCAGAAGUGUCAGACUGCACUCCCCAAUCCACACUGUUCACUGUGGAUAUUAUCAUAGUGCUUAACUCUUAUUAUAUUGUUAAAUAUAGCUUGUAAAUCCUUGUGCCACAGGUCAGCAUUGCAGUUAUAUCUGUUCUACUACUUUUUUUACCUCAGUAUUUUUUAUAUAUAUGUGAAGAUGUUUAUCACAGAUACAAGAGACAUCUUGUACCCCAGGUCAGCAAUGCCAAUAUAAUGGUCUAUUCUACUCCAGAGCUUUAUUCUAAAUUAUUACCACUUAUCUUAUUGUUAGAAAUGGCUUGUAAAUGUGAUGUUAUACCUGAAUUUUUUUGGUGUCCUGCACAUUCUUUGGUACCAGAUAUACUCAUUACUUAUGUUUACUGGUAAUUCUUUUCAUCCCAGAGCUGACCUCUUUAUAUUAUUAACAAUUAUUGUAAGUGUUAUAAUUUGCUUGUAAGCUAAGGCUGUUUUUUAACAAUUUAAUUGGAAACCUGCUGUGUGUGUGUGUUAUUUUUUUCUUCUUUUUUUCUGUUAUUUAUAUUUCAGGGAUCUGACAUCAUGUUUCAAUGACAGUUACUGUACUUUGAAAUGUGGAAUUAAAACGUCAAAUGGAAAUUUGUCUGGUUUGAUCAAUCAUUAUUCUUGAUAAACUGCAUUAUAUAUAUAAAAGCGGCGACCGAUCGCUCGAAAAUAGCGUUUGCCUCCGACGGGCCGCGGAAGGGUCGCCUUUGAUAUAACGGCGGCGGGACGGCGGUUGGCCCGCGGGCCGGCCGCGGAACGAAGGCGGUAGGAAGGCGGCUGCCGCUUCUAAAAAGCGGCUGCCGCCGGCGGUGCACCGUCAAACGUGUUUGCGAUUACGCCAUUCUGACGCUUCUACUGCCGCCGGAGCGCCGCCGGCGGUCCGCCGACUCAUUGCUAUCUGGGAUGCUUUUAGAGGAAGAGAUGGCACAUUUAACGGACAUCGAUCGACACUUAGCGACAGAAGAAUAUAUAGAUAUUUGAACGCGAUGCGUAAACGCGGAACUUUAACAUUUUUUUGAGUGACUCAGUAAAGAUUUUGGAUUUGUUUCUUAAUUAUUAUCGAGGGAAAAAAUAAUAUAAAAUGGCUUCUAGAUCGGGUUUAUCAGGUUUCCCCGUUAACCCCAGUACCCCAAUAAACCCCAGCAUGAACCCCAUGAACUCUGGUCACAGCAGCGCCAUGAGAAUGUCAGCAAUGCCGCAGAAUUCACCCUUCAGAGUGAUGGGCAGCACCCCGAACCAGUACCACCAAGUAAGUCUCGGGACCACUCUUUAUAUGUUCUUUAUUGUUAGCUUCAAUUCCCUUCUGCCAAAUAUAGGAAGUGUCACUGCAUUAGCAACAAUGACGAUGUAAUAGCACAUUUAUGUAAAUAAACAUUGCUAUAAAAUACAAGGAUGCUUUUUUUUACAGAAAUAAAAAGAGAAAAGACUGAAAUUUUGAAUUAAUUCUUUUUAAAAGCACUGUAUAGUGAGGUCCUCGAAGAACAAACAUCUAAGUACUUCCGCGUUUUGAGUCCCACCAUGAACACGCGUGCUUAACUUUGAAUAUGUUACCUGCAAACUAUCGGUUCAGCCACUAACAAAAAGUGCCGUGGUAAUGCUAUUCCAUUUUGUAAUAUGCAGUGGUGAUACGAUUAUCUUUGGACUGGACAUAUAGCUACCAUUGUAAAACCAAUGCCAAUGUAAUACCAUAUAAUAGUAUUUUCUGCGCCGUUGAGUACCACGCAAUCGCCGUGUAUAUGAGUAUCAUUAACGUUACCUAAUUAUCCCAUUAACUUAUACAGUUAAAAACCAUCUGAUAUCCUCACUGUACCAUGUUACCAUGGUAACACUUUACAACAAGUUUCUAUUACUUAACAACUAAAAAAUCAACAAAAGAGCAAUACAUUUCUUACAGUAUUAAUCUUUGUUAACAUUUGUAAAUUCUAUAAAAACUCUCUUCAUUGUUAGUUCAUGUUAGCACAGGUUUUACAGAUACAACAUUCGAUUCUAAUAAUGUAUAAGAGGCCUAGCCCAUACAUGAAAAUGUUGACAUCAUUUUUUUUUUCACCUUCCACUUGUUCCAAACAUGUAUGAGUUUCCUUUUUCUGUUGAACACAAAAGAAGAUAUUUUGAAGAAUGAUGGUAAUCAAACAGGUGACGGUAGCUACUGACUUCCAUAAAAAUUUUUAUUAAAGGAGUCAUCGGAUGCCCAUUUUACACAAGUUGAUAUGAUUCUUUAGGGACUUAAUGAAAAGUCUGUAACAUAGUUUGGUUAAAAUUUCUCAAUGGUCAAAAAUCCUAUUAGCUUUUAUUAUUUUAUAAUGGUGCGUGUUUUUGUUCAGCCAGCAAUGAAUUGCAAGCAAAGUGUGUAAAUUAACAUGCAUAGUUAUGUAUUUAUGCAGCGAUAAAGAGAUGGCAGUUUUUCACAGGACUUACCAAGGUUACAUUUAUCAUCUAAACAGUUGUACCAUAUCAUAGUAGCAGACUCUAGAUGUAAAUCUAAAACACAUUCCCAAGAGGCUUUUCUUAGAUGUGAGACAUAAUUAUAGAAAUUUCAAUUGGCUUUGUGGGUUUCCAUGUCAUCCAAUUGACUGCUGAACUUGAACAUGUUGAAUCGUAGCAUUUAAAACAAUGUAACAAUUUAAGACAAUGUUAACUGUAACUAUCAACUCCUUUGAGAUAAAUAUGUAUAUAAUAUAAAAGCAACACAUACAUUAUAAAGAUAUGGAUUCUUUGAGCUUGGAUCUUUCUAAAAUUCUAGAUAUAUUUGAAGCCGUGACAUUGUACAUGUUGAGAUACAAGCAGGUUAUAUUGUAUCAGGCAGGCUAUGGGAGGCUAUUCUAAAGGAAGCCACAGUAAUUCUUUCACUCUCUUUUUAUAUAUAUAUAUAUAUAGAGAGAGAGAGAGAGAGAGAGAGAGAGAGAUUAAAAAGCUGUGUUUGGGCUUUCUCUAUUAAGCGAUCAUUGAAUUUUCAGAUAAGGUUGUUUCUACACUUCGCUUCCUGCCAUGAAUAAUUUAGCUUGUUUGCAUUCUCCAGAUUUCGUCAAUGUCCUAUUAAUUGUUUUGAUUUACUUUGGUUUUGGAUAGAUUUAUUUUCAAAUAUUCCAUAUUGCUAAGCUUCAUGUAGCAUGUUAUUAUACGGUCAACCACCUCAUUCCUUUCUCCGUAAAUUGGAUAUUACUGAUGCUGAUGUUUCCCCUGAAUAGAAGUUUUUCCCUACUUGGUUUGAUGAGAUAAAAAAGCAGCAUUGGGGGAGCUGGGUUUUACUGACAGCCUCUAUAAACUAUCAAGAUCCUUGAAAAUUGAAACAGGAAUCCUGCUAUUGCAAAAAGGGGUACUCACCACAAGUACCACCAAUAUCAAUCAGCUAGCUCUGCAAUACUUGUCAAAGCUGUGAUUUUAGCCAUCACAGCAAAGGAAAGGAAAAUGAUUACCAAAUGGUAAUGGCGAGGCUUAGAGGAAUGCAGCAGUAAAGAAUCCAACUAAUCUUUUAUAAAAACUAGAACUUGCAGAUUGAGAAAUAUAGCACAAAUACUAGAGUUUAAACUAAGGCAUGAUAUUUGGGACACAACUGAAGAAACAUGUUCAACAAAGUGCUUGUGUACCAUUACUGAGAAAGAUGUCCAGACGGUUAAAAAUUCAAUCAUGUACACUCUGGAGAUGAUGUUUGAAGGGUUUCAGCUUGUUUUCGGUUGAUAAGCUGGUAAGCAAAUGUAAGUAACACUGUGUAAAUCUGCAAAUGAACACAUCAUUGUACCUAAUUUUAUGAAACAUCUUAUAAAAAUAAAAAUAAUAAUUUCUCGUCAAGGUAGGUGUGUUGUCUGAAAAUUGAUUGUUCUGCUAAUUGGCAGAAGACACAGUUGCCUUUUGAGUAUAGGAAAUUGGACAGGUCAAAUACUGAAGCUGAAAGCCACUGCAGGUGAAUCCACCCACAGUGCAAGAGCCAUUCACAUAUCCCCUGACCCUGAUCC
rnacentral:lncRNA from 1 species